rnacentral:rRNA from 1 species
AAUGAACGUUGGCGGCGUGCCUAACACAUGCAAGUCGAGCGAGAAAAUCCCUUCGGGGAUGAGUAGAGCGGCGAACGGGUGAGUAACGCGUAGGAAUUUGCCCUUUAGUGAAGGAUACCCUUGAGAAAUCGGGGUUAAUACUGCAUAAGUCCCUUCGGGGAGAAAGGUGGCCUCUUGCUGCCGCUAAAGGAUAAGCCUGCGUACUAUUAGUUUGUUGGUGGGUAAAGGCCUACCAAGACGAUGAUGGUUAGCCGGCCUGAGAGGGUGUUCGGUCACACUGGAACUUAGACACGGUCCAGACUCCUACGGGAGGCAGCAGUGAGGAAUUUUGCGCAAUGGGCGAAAGCCUGACGCAGCGACGCCGCGUGGAGGAUGAAGGUUUUCGGAUCGUAAACUCCUGUUGAGGGGGAAGAAAGGCCUCUUUCUAAUACAAAGAGGAGAUGACGGUACCCCUUUAGAAAGCACCGGCUAACUUCGUG